GACUUAAAUUCUAGGAUUGGCUUCCCGAAUCAUUCUGAACAUGUUUAGUAGAUGGUGACAGAUCGGGCAACUCACCAACCGCCACGAGCAGCUCAGACACCACGACGAGCCUAUGGGCUUGGCUGGGCAAGCCAAGCUAUGAUCAGCAAAUGAAGUUCGUAGACUUCUCGAGCUUGUCCUAUUCAGCUCGAUAUGAACUAUAUCAUGUAAAUAAUUAGGGUAUUUUAUCGUUAUGUAAACAUCUUGGCCAAAGAAUUUUUAGGUACAUCAAUACACGUUAAAUUAUCAAAAGUAAAUUAAUCAAGUUGUCACUGCAAAAACUGAAAAGAGAGAAGAAUAAAAUAAGGCACAGCCACAAGCACACAAUGAUCAGAGUAGAACGGGAAAACACUAAAAAAAUUACCAUGACCCAAUGAGAGAGCAAGUAUAACAGGUAUUGAACACAGCCACAUAUCCCAUGGAGCUGAAUCAUUCUGAAAUGGGUUACUAGUUACUACAAAGAGGUUGUCAAUCAUUAAACAAUAAAUAUUAAGUAAUCAAGUUCAGCAAAACAUUCCAUCUAUAUACAGAAAUCCUCAAUGGCAAUUCAAAGAAACUUUCUCCCGACUACAGUAAGAUAAAUAGAAAGCCAGCCACCAGUGACAGAAUUUCUUAUGGUACCAUCCACCCGUCUAAUAAGCAGAGAACAAUUUCUUUUUAUCUUCAGUCAUUGAAAACCAUUGAAGCUACACCGUGUACUGAUUUUUGGCAGCUUUGUCAAGCUUCUUAGCAUCCUCCUGCAUUACAACGGUUGGUAAGCUGGUGUUUAGAUUAGCUCAAUAAAAAGCUUACUUAAAUAGGCAGUGAUGUACACAUUUUAAUGCUUACAUGCAAUCAGAGCUUCCUGACAAAAAAAUAGUUCAUAUUGGAUAAAAUAUGGUGAUAAACAGUUAUAUCUUAUGAAGUCUGGUGAAGACGUGUUUAUAAGGUAUAAAUAAUGCCCAAUUAAUCAUUCCACUUCCUUGAGACUGUAGAAAAUACUAAGAAAUCAAACAGAUUAAUAUUAUUAUUAGAUAAAUGCAUAAUUAAGUUCCGUACCAUGUAUAAGUAUCAUUUCUAAUAUUGGAGAAUAAUUCAUAUCUGGAUUUCUUUAGGCAUAUGAUAUAUAAAUUCCAUACUCAAUUAUAGCACAGCCACUUUUAAAAGAACGUCAUGAAUGCUAACGUUCGAUCGAUUUCAUUAUAUAUAUAUAUAUAUAUAUAUAUAU
rnacentral:lncRNA from 1 species